rnacentral:rRNA from 1 species
UUGGAGGAAUGUAAGCGAAAGCUAAUUGUAUGAAAAGCUAAUGUAAAUACAAUAUCGACUAUGUCGACUAAAGUUCUAGGUAGAGUAAUGAUAAUGACAUUCUUUACCUAUAUGUCUUGACCAAGUCACGUGCCAGCAGUCGCGGUAAUACGUGGAAGACUAGUGUUAUUCAUCUUUAAUAGGUUUAAAGGGUACCUAGACGGUAAAUCAAGCCCCAAAAGGGUACUGAUAAACUAGAGUUUAAUGUGAGGGGGUGAUUAGUACUAAUGGAGUAGAGAUGAAAUUCUGUCAUACCAUAAGGAGACAGGUAUCGGCGAAAGCAACCCUUUAUGUAAAAACUGACGUUGAAGGACGAAGGCUUGGGUCAUAAACAGGAUUAGAUACCCUAGUAUUCUGAGCAGACAACGCUGAAUGCCAUAGAUUAGAUUUAUUUUUUCUCUAUAAAUGAAAGUGUAAGCAUUCCACCUCAAGAGUAA